AUUGAACGCUGGCGGCAGGCCUAACACAUGCAAGUCGAGCGAGCGGCGGACGGGUGAGUAAUGUAUGGGGAUCUGCCUGAUAGAGGGGGAUAACUACUGGCAACGGUAGCUAAUACCGCAUAAUAUCCGAUGAACCCAUAUGGGAAUAGCUAGUAGGUGGGGUAACGGCUCACCUAGGCGACGAUCUCUAGCCGUUCUGAGAGGAUGACCAGCAACACUGGGACUGAGACACGGCCCCGAUUCUGACGGGAGGAAGCAGUGGGGAAUAUUGCACAAUGGGGGCAAGCCUGAUGCAGCCAUGCCGCUUGUAUGAAGAAGGCCUUAGGGUUGUAAAGUACUUUCAGCGGGGAGGCGUUACCCGCAGAAGAAGCACCGGCUAACUCCGUGCCAGCAGCCGCGGUAAUAC
rnacentral:rRNA from 1 species